rnacentral:rRNA from 1 species
AUUGAACGCUAACGGCAUGCUUAACACACGCAAGUCGAACGGCAGCACGGACUUCGGUCUGGUGGCGAGUGGCGAACGGGUGAGUAAUGUAUCGGAACGUGCCCAGUCGUGGGGGAUAACGUAGUGAAAAUUACGCUAAUACCGCAUACGAUCUAUGGAUGAAAGCGGGGGAUCGCAAGACCUCGCGCGAUUGGAGCGGCCGAUAUCAGAUUAGGUAGUUGGUGGGGUAAAGGCCCACCAAGCCAACGAUCUGUAGCUGGUCUGAGAGGACGACCAGCCACACUGGAACUGAGACACGGUUCAGACUCCUACGGGAGGCAGCAGUGGGGAAUUUUGGACAAUGGGCGAAAGCCUGAUCCAGCCAUUCCGCGUGCAGGAUGAAGGCCCUCGGGUUGUAAACUGCUUUUGUACAGAACGAAAAGGUUUCUACUAAUACUAGGAGCUCAUGACGGUACUGUAAGAAUAAGCACCGGCUAACUACGUGCCAGCAGCCGCCGCGG